ACAAGCAGUCGGAGCGGCCCUGUGCCGUGACGGCGUACCUUUUGUAUAAUGGGUCAGCGACUUAGAGUAUGCAGCGAGCUUAAGCCGGUAGGUGGAGGCGCAGCGAAAGCGAGUCUGAACAGGGCGCGUCAGUUGCAUGCUCUAGACCCGAAACCUGAUGAUCUAGCCAUGGGCAGGUUGAAGGUGCGGUAACACGCACUGGAGGACCGAACUCACGCCUGUUGAAAAAGUCGGAGAUGAC
rnacentral:ncRNA from 1 species